UUGCUGCUAUAACAAACUGCCACAAACUUGGUGAUUUAAAACAACAUACAUUGGGCCCAGUGUGCCAUGGCUGCAAACAGUAGCCUCCUCGGUAGUGUAUGCAACCUGUUGAUUGUAUGGGUUGCCCUAAGGGACCUUGGAGACAACC
ensembl:snoRNA SNORA70 Small nucleolar RNA SNORA70